UAAUCAAUUAAAAUUCCCCUCAUAUCUGGAGACCACAGAGUUGAGUGUUGUGAGUAUAGUAAAAAUUUCUUUUCGGACUACCAAUCCAUCCUUUCGAAUGGAAUCCGUAAUAGAUUUUAAAACCUGCAUCCUCUUUUCUGUUUGCUGAGACAAGGUUCCAAAUAGGAGAACCUUCUCUGCUGUCUCUGCUCAGGUAACAGCCAUCUUCAAAAGAUCAAAUGCCUUCUUGCCUGUAAACACUGGGCUCAGCUCUAAACAUGACUUGACCCUGCCUCUUCUCUCCUUCUUUGGGGGAACCUGCCCUGGACACAGUAGUCAUCAUUCACAGAAUGUCAGCAAGGAGGAGGAGAAGGAAGAGUUUGCCAGAUCCUGCACCACCUCUCUAGAGCUAUGUUUUUAGGCAGAAAGCUCUUUUUUUUCUAACUUUUUUCCUCCCCCUACUAAGUGCCUGUUUACCAACAUUUCUUACCUGCUCAUAUCACUCUGUACAAGCAUUCGGUAUGCGGUUGGUGCUGAACAGAAGACAGUGAUGGGAAACUUGGAGAGUGUCUGCAAUUUAGAAAAAGCAAACUCGUGGCCUACUACAGCUUUAUUAUGUGCUUAAAUAUCUAUGGGAGGCACAGCAUAAUGUAGGCAUUGCUUAUUUUAAUGUAAAUACACUCACACCUUUUCUCUAUUUUUCAGGCUUACAGACUUUCUGGAUGUUGUCUACUCUGAUCUUGACAAAUUACGGUAUUUACCAGCCAGUGAUAAUGCCGAUGCAUUUUUAAUGUGGCCCUCUCAUGCUCUGCCUUACUUGUAAGAUGGAAGCUGACUCGAAACGGGGCAAGUGAUGUGCAAAUACGCAUGCUCCUUGGAUCCAUGGAGAGAAAACACUGCUCCACGCAGACUUUGCCCAGCCUGUGUCUGAGGCAUGGCUGUCACUGGCGUGUCUGCAAAGGAGAGAGGCAGUGGUGUGCAUGUAGACUGUGCCCCGACAGGGAUUUGAGAGACCAUCUCCUCUGACCUCUUCACCUAAGGUGGAAUCAGACCCCAGCACCUUGGACUGAAUCCCAAGGUGUUGAUCCCAAGAGAACUCCUUAAUAAACUUCUUAUACAUUCUUUUCCAUCUCCUUGACUGCUUCCUGGGGAUCCCAACCUACAAAAAACACUCCAAGCUCCUUCCUGCCUCAGAGCUUAGCAC